AGGUCUUCGGUCUUUGCGCUUUCGCCGCUUCCAUUACCUUCUUCUAUUGUAUUUCAGACACUGAACGACGAACACGACACGACACAGAGAAGCUGCAUUAUUGGAUCUUAAAGAUGAAUCGGUCAGUUUUUCUGUGUAUAUUUUGGUUGGUGUUGGCGAGUAAUGCCACAUCCCCUGGUGGAUUGUAUGGGAUGUAUGGCCCAGUAUAUAGUGUUUUUCGACCACAGUAUCUAAAUAUUAUUCAAAAUCAAGACAGAUUAAACCGUUUAUUUACGGGUGGAUCUUACAAAAAAGGCAAAAAAUACGUCACAGGAAACAAACUCUACACCGGUCUCUAUGGCAAUGGAUUUCUGGGAAGAAUUUUCUGGACUUCACGGUCUUUGGGUCUUUGAGUAAUCUCAGAAAUUUAUAAAUAAUAUUAAUCAUAGCGAAUUGGUAAUCGGAGAAAAAUAAACAUUAUGGGGACCAUCUUAUCAGAAACCAUAAAAUUGUUGCAGGCGUAGAGACACCAGAUUCUGAAUAAAUAGCAGGUACAGAAAAAGGAUGAUCAAUUUCCUGUGUAAAUAAAUGUGGCAAGGACAUUAGUGGGUUUCGUCAAACUGUUUUUUUUUUUCAAAUUGUGACAUUUACAGAGAAUACAAAAACAAGAAACACAUCCAUCGUUAGAUAUAACUUUUAGUGAUUCUUAGCUAUAGUGACAUUAAAGAAGCUAAUUCGCUAAUAUUGACACAAAUGGGUCGCAACGCAUGUAAUAAUGUAAUAUGAAUGU